CAUUAUAGAGUACCUUACUCACUACCCUUUGUGAACUAUUAUACCUGUUGCCUCGGCGGCGCCCCCUGUGGGCGCCCGCCGGUCUACUAGAAUCUCUGUUUUCGAACCCGACGAUACUUCUGAGUGUUCUUAGCGAACUGUCAAAACUUUUAACAACGGAUCUCUUGGCUCCAGCAUCGAUGAAGAACGCAGCGAAACGCGAUAUGUAAUGUGAAUUGCAGAAUUCAGUGAAUCAUCGAAUCUUUGAACGCACAUGGCGCCUUCCAGUAUCCUGGGAGGCAUGCCUGUCCGAGCGUCGUUUCAACCCUCGAGCCCUCGUGGCCCGGCGUUGGGGAUCUGCCACGGCAGGCCCCGAAAUACAGUGGCGGACCCGUUAGGCCCUUCCUUUGCGUAGUAGCAUUAGCCUCGCAUUGGGAGCCGACGGGCUCUCCUGCCUCUAAACCCCCCAACAAGCCCGCUCCGGCGGCACCAAGGUUGACCUCGGAUCAGGUAGGAAUACCCGCUGAACUUAAGCAUAUCAAUAAGCGGAGGAAAAGAAACCAACAGGGAUUGCCUCAGUAACGGCGAGUGAAGCGGCAACAGCUCAAAUUUGAAAUCUGGCUCCUUCGGGGCCCGAGUUGUAAUUUGCAGAGGAUGCGUCGGGUACGGGUGCCUUCCGAGUUCCCUGGAACGGGACGCCAUAGAGGGUGAGAGCCCCGUCUGGUAGGACACCCAGCCCGUGUGACGCUCCCUCGACGAGUCGAGUAGUUUGGGAAUGCUGCUCU
rnacentral:rRNA from 1 species